rnacentral:ncRNA from 2 species
UUGAGUGGGGGGGACGCUGAACCACUACCUGUAUAUGGUCACUUGGGUAGUGGGGAGUCAAUAGUGAAACCGACCUUUCGA